GUUGACCUGGGAGGUCUUGAGCACUGAGAUUUCAUAAUCCCUAUGGAUCCCACAGGGGCAAACUGGAUUUUAUUCCUUUGGGCCAGGCACUAUGCUCAACUUUGGGUGACAAACUUGGUCUCAUGUAGUUCUGAGCUGAAGGGCAUCCUGACGCUAUUGCCUGGCUUGAUUUCACUAAAUGCUCUGGUGGCUCCACAGAUCACUGUGCUGUGGGCAUUUGAGUCAGAGGACUUGAGCAUAGUUGAGGGUGUUACUAUUUACACUUUCCCAACUGCCUGUGUUUGACAGAAAACAUCUAAAGUGAUACUAUACAUUUAGGGAAGGAAGGUAAUAGUAUCAGUUUAGCCAAGGAAACAUCAUGUCUUUCUACCUUUAAAGGAAGGUUCUUACUAUAAGGAACUGGCCAAAAUGUGAUUUAUUCUCUGUGGUGACCACAUACUAUUUCAUCCACACUUUCAGAAGAGUGGUGGGAGUACCACAGGAUCCCUGGUAGUAUGCUGGCCUUGGCUCCUACAGGCUCUGGGAGCUGGUUGUAUGCAUUACUUCCCAACUCUGCAUUCAAUGUCCUUGUGUUUGUAGCUUCAAAAUGGCUAUAGCGGGUGUAUUUAUGCAAUGAAAAUUGGCAAAUGCUGAAAAUUAGGGCUUUAUUUUCAGAGAGCCAGUUGUUAAGCAUUUACCAGUAUACCACUGACUGGGAUUCAGGUCACAUGUCACUCAGAGAAAAGUCCCAGAGAGCGUCAGCAAACUGAAUUAUUAAAGGACAGGAGGCAGAGCAUGGGAGGAAAGGUCAACAUGUCCUCUGCUAAGUAGGACAAUGCCAGAAGACCAGUUAGAUGAGGGAGCCUCAUUCUCAGGAAAUAGUGUGUUCUAUAAAUAUUUGAGGGCCCACUAAGGUACGAGGGUAGACUUUAGAAUCAUAUUAUCUGCCUCCCUCUCUCCCUCUUCAAGUCCUACCUCAAAUACAGUUGGCCCCAGUGCUGAAUUGCCCAGUAAGUAAAACGAGCAGGUGUUAAGUGUACCAGCAAUGUAGCAGGGACCAAGGAAAGAAGAAGAAAAGAAUAUACUACAUGUCUUCAUGAUAUAUAUGUAUAUAUACAUGCAACAACAUAUUAAUCAUAGGAAAUUCAUAACUUUGAACUUCUUUAUCCUUAUCUCAUGAUUCACUGUUUUUAUUUUAAAUGACUUGGAUUAUUUUGAGUUCCACAUUUAUUACUUAGGGAUUAGGGAAGACCAACAUUUGUUUCCUUUAACUAGGUGUAAAUCUGGCCCCAGUUGAGAUGGGCACCUUUCCAGUGCCUGUAUUGCUGCUGAAAUGUCAGGGUGGAGUUGCCAGAAUAUCAUCACUGCAGGUUUCUGGGUAGGACAGGCAGGUUGAAGUUUGUCCCAGCCAAGAGGGAAGGAGCUUGGUAGGUUUGGUUCUGUACACAGGAGCCGUGAGGCCAAAAAGGGACUUCCCCUUCACACCCGUUGGAAUUUAAGUCCAAAGGCAAACUCAUUGUGCUCCAUUGGCCCUCUCACUGCCCUGAGCGAAUAUGAGGGGAGUGUUGAAAUUUAAAAACAAUCUUUUUAUUUGGGAAAAUUUUAGAAGUUAUGAGAAACCAGGGUAUAGAGUAUAGAUAACUGCUAAUUACUCAUCACUCAGCUUCUCUCACUAUCAACUCAUGUACAAUCUUACUUUAUCUAUGACAUGGGACCCUUC